CCAGAGGUCGAUGGAUCGAAACC
rnacentral:piRNA from 2 species